GCUGGGGUAUCCAAGCUUGGUAUGGAGCUGGAUUGCUAAUCCAGUGUCGUUAGACUCGAGGGUUCAAAUCCCUCCCCCAGCGCCA
rnacentral:tRNA from 1 species